rnacentral:lncRNA from 1 species
CCGACGUUUGAGUCGAAUCCACUGUGCUUAAUCAGAAACCAGUUGUGCUCCCUGCUAUGGGGAGAUGAGCAUGGGUACCACGGGAGGAGGAGAGUGUAAGCCGUUGGAUGCUCUGCUAUCACCAUAGCUGGCUGCUAUCUGUUGAGUUUAGAGUUUAGACCGUGGGCCAGCCCCGCAGGAGUGUGUUCUGUGUGUCAUCCGGUCCCAUCUUUAAAAUGAAUCAAAUGCAUUGAGUGUCAUGAUCUCGGCAGAAUCAGCAGGCAAAGUGUGUUUCAGGGUGCCAGGCUUGCCCCUUCAACAAGAGCAUUUUCGAGGACAGGCUGGCAUAUUUACCUGUAUGUAUGUAAAGAUUCUACUAGUAGAAAUAAACUGCCUGGUGGUCUAGUCCUCUGGUGAGCCAGGGCUUCAU